rnacentral:rRNA from 1 species
GAUGAACGCUGGCGGCGUGCCUAAUACAUGCAAGUCGAGCGAACAGACGAGGAGCUUGCUCCUCUGACGUUAGCGGCGGACGGGUGAGUAACACGUGGAUAACCUACCUAUAAGACUGGGAUAACUUCGGGAAACCGGAGCUAAUACCGGAUAAUAUAUUGAACCGCAUGGUUCAAUAGUGAAAGACGGUUUUGCUGUCACUUAUAGAUGGAUCCGCGCCGCAUUAGCUAGUUUGUAAGGUAACGGCUUACCAAGGCAACGAUGCGUAGCCGACCUGAGAGGGUGAUCGGCCACACUGGAACUGAGACACGGUCCAGACUCCUACGGGAGGCAGCAGUAGGGAAUCUUCCGCAAUGGGCGAAAGCCUGACGGAGCAACGCCGCGUGAGUGAUGAAGGUCUUCGGAUCGUAAAACUCUGUUAUUAGGGAAGAACAAAUGUGCAAGUAACUAUGCACGUCUUGACGGUACCUAAUCAGAAAGCCACGGCUAACUACGUG